rnacentral:rRNA from 1 species
UACGGAAGGCAGCAGUGGGGAAUAUUGCACAAUGGGCGCAAGCCUGAUGCAGCCAUGCCGCGUGUAUGAAGAAGGCCUUCGGGUUGUAAAGUACUUUCAGUCGUGAGGAAGGUGUUAAGGUUAAUAACCUUAGCAAUUGACGUUAGCGACAGAAGAAGCACCGGCUAACUCCGUGCCAGCAGCCGCGGUAAUACGGAGGGUGCGAGCGUUAAUCGGAAUUACUGGGCGUAAAGGGCACGCAGGCGGUUAAUUAAGUUGGAUGUGAAAUCCCCGGGCUUAACCUGGGAAUGGCAUUCAAGACUGGUUAGCUAGAGUCUUGUAGAGGGGGUAGAAUUCCAUGUGUAGCGGUGAAAUGCGUAGAGAUGUGGAGGAAUACCGGUGGCGAAGGCGGCCCCUGGGACAAAGGACUGACGCUCAUGUGCGAAAGCGUGGGGAGCGAAACAGGGAUUACGAUACC